AACGCACAAACGGAAACGAC
rnacentral:miRNA from 1 species